rnacentral:rRNA from 1 species
GGUUAAGCGACUAAGCGUACACGGUGGAUGCCCUGGCAGUCAGAGGCGAUGAAGGACGUGCUAAUCUGCGAUAAGCGUCGGUAAGGUGAUAUGAACCGUUAUAACCGGCGAUUUCCGAAUGGGGAAACCCAGUGUGAUUCGUCACACUAUCAUUAACUGAAUCCAUAGGUUAAUGAGGCGAACCGGGGGAACUGAAACAUCUAAGUACCCCGAGGAAAAGAAAUCAACCGAGAUUCCCCCAGUAGCGGCGAGCGAACGGGGAGGAGCCCAGAGCCUGAAUCAGUGUGUGUGUUAGUGGAAGCGUCUGGAAAGGCGCGCGAUACAGGGUGACAGCCCCGUACACAAAAAUGCACAUACUGUGAGCUCGAUGAGUAGGGCGGGACACGUGGUAUCCUGUCUGAAUAUGGGGGGACCA